rnacentral:sRNA from 1 species
ACAACAACAACAACAACUUCAAAUAUAUAUAUACAUCCUCCCAAAAUAUUAAUGAUUCGUUUGCUUUACUUAAAGCUUCUUUGCUAUAUCCUCAAAGUUUAGCAAUCCAUGAAAUAAACAAACGUGUUCACAACGUAAUUCAGAUAUAAGCCGUCACUAUUUUUCCCCGUUCACAUCAGCCUCACUUGUAGUUUUGUCUCAAUCGAAAUCAUUGUUUUUAUAUUUACUACAAAAAAGAAUCUAAUAAUUGAGAUCGAAUAUAGAAGAAAAAUGAAAUACUCGUUGUUACAUUUGAAAUUCGUAACGUAUAGUGUCUCUGUCUGUAUGGAUGCGUGACAUGUAACGUUGUUACAAUAUAUCUUGGUUAUCUAUAUUUUAUUUCUUACUAGAUAAAGCCCGCCUAAAUAAGCGGGUAUAAGAUGUAAAUGUAAUUUUUAUCGAUAAUAUUUAAAUUUUGAAUAGUAAAAUAAUAAUCGAUACAUUGUUCUUGAUAUAUAAUUUUGAAUAGUAAAAUAGUAGUCUUAUGCAUUUUAUUUUGUUAUACCCAUUCAAUCUUAUUGAUGAUAUUUGAAGUCUAAAUAGUAACCUACACACUUUUUCUUUAUUGUAAUUUAGUAUUUAGAAGAAAAAAUAAAAUUUUAUCUUAUACAUUCAAUUUUGUAAUACAAUUUAACUAUCUAUUUCAUAAAAAACUCGAUUUUAAUUUUACACACUUCAUCUUACUUGAUAAUGAUUUCAUGUCAAAAUAAUAUAUAUAUAUAAGAUCAAAUCUAUAUCUUAGUUAAUAUUAAAAAUUAUUAACAAUUAACAAAACAUAAUUCAUAAUAAUAAAACAUUUGUUAAUACCAUAUAUAUUAAAAAUUUGACCAAUAACAUAUAUAUAUAUUUUUUUUGUUAAUUUUCCUUUUGGUUAAGAAAAAUAAAAUGUAAUAUUUUUUAGAUAUAGAAAUAUGAAUUAGUAUAUGUUAAUAAUGAUUUCUU